rnacentral:tRNA from 1 species
GCCGACGUAGCCAAACGGCAAAGGCGCUCGUCUUAGGAACGAGUUUUUGCGAGUUCGACUCUCGCCGUCGGCA